CUUCACCUCACCCGCCUCGGCACCCUCGACGACGAUGGCCUCUUUUCCGACUCCUCCUCCUCUGCCACCGCCGAUCGCCGCCGCUCCGCUGCCCUCAACGCCACCCUCCCCGCCCUCUUCCUCCACGACGGCGGCGCCGUGGGCCGCCAGAGUUCCGCCAAGCCCCUCAAAAUUAGGGUUCCCGACUAUGCCCCCUCCUCGCCCUUCGUCUUCUCCUUCCCCGAUGC
rnacentral:lncRNA from 1 species